GGGUGAGUAACGCGUGGGUAACCUGCCAUAUGCUGGGGGACAACAGUUGGAAACGACUGCUAAUACCGCAUAAGCGCACGAGACCGCAUGGUCUAGUGUGAAAAACUCCGGUGGCAUAUGAUGGACCCGCGUCUGAUUAGCUAGUUGGUGAGGUAACGGCCCACCAAGGCGACGAUCAGUAGCCGGCCUGAGAGGGUGAACGGCCACAUUGGGACUGAGACACGGCCCAGACUCCUACGGGAGGCAGCAGUGGGGAAUAUUGCGCAAUGGGGGAAACCCUGAUGCAGCGACGCCGCGUGAGUGAAGAAGUAUUUCGGUAUGUAAAGCUCUAUCAGCAAGGAAGAAAAUGACGGUACUUGACUAAGAAGCCCCGGCUAACUACGUGCCAGCAGCCGCGGUAAUACGUAGGGGGCAAGCGUUAUCCGGAUUUACUGGGUGUAAAGGGAGCGUAGACGGCAUGGCAAGUCUGAAGUGAAAGGCUGGGGCUCAACCCCGGGACUGCUUUGGAAACUGUUAAGCUAGAGUGCAGGAGAGGUAAGUGGAAUUCCUAGUGUAGCGGUGAAAUGCGUAGAUAUUAGGAGGAACACCGGUGGCGAAGGCGGCUUACUGGACUGUAACUG
rnacentral:rRNA from 1 species